rnacentral:lncRNA from 1 species
GUCGACCUUCAUUCAAUCCACAGUAAUAUAACAUCAUUCUAAUAUAAAAAUCAUAUUUAACUGUAUUUUUUAUAAAGCAUGUAUAGCUACCUGGACUUCAUUCAGCUUGAUUGGCUCAAGAUAUUGCUUAAAAAACUGUCCCAAACUAGAGCCCUGUAAAAAUCGAAGUACUUCUAAAAGGGCAUGGAAAAUACUCAUAUACUAGGAUUUGAAAGUUGAGAUAAGAUCUACUUCAUGUUGCUUUAUAGUGCCUUUGUACCGACAAGAACUGUUCGAAUAUAUACGAAGCAUAUCACCCAACACAAAAGUAUUUAAGUUUUUACUGGACUAUAAAAAUAUUAUUAAAAUUUGAGGUUCACAGCACACGUUCCUGUGAAGUUCCUACACAUAUAAUCAUGUAAUGCAAAAGAUCAAUCUUAAAAGUACAACAAAAAACUUACAUGUUCUCCAAAAUUAUAUGUUCUGCAUACUUCGGGUCGGAUAAAUUGUCGUCCUUUGUGAUUCUCUUUUAAUCUCAACCAAUCGUCCCAGAUAUGCCUUCGGCCAUUUUGGUGAUAGUUCAUCCCAUGUAGAUCUAGCCAGCAUCCAUCCUAGUCCAGGAAAGAAGUCCGAGCGAUAAAGUUCAUCUGCAGAAUAGAUCAUUAAAAUUUAAAUUUAUCAGAAUAGCAUUGGCGAUCAACACAUUGUAAUAUUUAGGGGGAUACAAAUAUAUUUUUUUAAUACAUUUACCUUGAGACUACAUAGGUUGCGUUGAAAAUAUUAAACACAUUUGCAUUGAAAUUGAUGUAAAUAGGGUUAUUGACAGAAAGUGAUAAUAAACAUUUCUCAAACUGUUUCUGUAUUAUACAUAGCCGAUCUUAACCUGCACACACUGAAGGUAACUGACACCAACAUCUGAGUUGGUUACAGUUGUAGCUUCCCAUGCAAACUAAUAUUACAAGCUGAAGCUUCUCUCACAAGCUAACUUAACAGUUGGCACAAACACUGACCAACUGAACUGAACACAAUCAGUUUAACUAACUAUAACACAUAUUUUCAUAUACCCCACCCCCACCACAAGAUCUGCUUGUUUGUUGUUUCCUGCUGCGGCUGGUUGCUCAAAGUUGCAGAGGCGGCUUGUUAUGUUGAAGGAGAAAACUAGGUUCUUACAAACCGUGUUACGUUCCUCGUGUUUGCAAUGCUGA